ensembl:snoRNA
AGGGGGGUGAUGACAGUUUGUGAUGCGUUGAGUUCGCUGUGAUGCUGCUGUAUUCGUACUGUCUGACCCCA